AAUAAUUCUGCCCUCAUGGAACUUAUAUUCUGAUGGGGGAUGGGGAGAAUUGGAGAAGAACAUUGUCCUCAUGGAGUGAUGACCAUCACUUACAGAGCUAACCUGGAUCAGUACUCACAUGGGCCAGGACGGAUGUGAAGUUCAGUGACACAGUUCCAUAACACACGCUUGAAAGCUGUGUUCCUUUCCUUCUCAAGUGACCAUCUGAGAACAAAAAUUAUCCUUCUGAAGCUAAACGUAGUCCACAUUCGGCAUGCACAGUAAAUGCAGUACACAUUUGGCAUGCAUAAUGCUAUUGAGGCUUAAUGGGUCUGAACAAAAGAAAAAGAACUUUGGUGGGGAAAGAUGUCUUUCAGAAUCCUACUUUGAACCAGAAGAAUCUAUUCUCUUGAGACUGUUGAAGAGAAGAUUGCAUAAAGCUCCCUUUGGAUGGUUGGUCAUUAGAUGCAGUCUUUCAGGAGAUUCUGAAAGAUUAAUGGAUGAACCAGGGAGGAUGGACACUAUACCUCUAGCUGCUACUGCUGCUACCAUAAUGUGCAUGGCCACUAUCUGCAGACUCAUGAAUCCUCAUCUUUACUGAAUACUCUGUACAUGCCAGACAUGGUGCUCUGCACCUGUGAGGUGUCACCCCUGCUCUGCUGUAAAUGAGCACCCCGGGCUCAACGAGAGAUGGACUCACCCUCCUCAGUUCACACACACAUGACAAACACACCAGUUGGAUGUGCUCAACUGCAGAUUCCAUGUUCUCGAACACCCUGCUCUCCUUGCCUUGGGACUGGCCAGCUCUCGCUCAGACUGAGUGCUACCAGUGUUGGCCACUGUGCAAAAUCCCCAGGAGGCCAGAGGCAAGCGUUCUCUACAGUAUCGCUCAACUGGAGAAAACAUGCAGUUAUGAAGUUAGGCUCCAGCCAACCGGCUAAGUGAAAGGAAAAGAUGCUUGAAAGUGUUCCUGUGAGAAAUGGAAGAGGGCUCAUUAAUAAGAACAUGCGCCAUUUGUUGAGCAGAACAAACAAACAGAUUUUUGGCAAAGAGAUUUACUUCAGAGAAGAAAGGAAGUGCCUGCGGUGGUGGGAUGGGGGGCAGAAUGCUGACACACAGAUGUGAGAACAAGAUGCUGGCACCAGCUGUGCACUGAAGAGAGUUAUCGCAACUAUCAAUUUUCUAUUUUUGUUUUAGUGAUUUAUCAGUUAGAAUUAUCACACUGUGAAAGCCUUGUAAUAGAGACUGCAGUUUCGAAAAUGCAAGAACCAGUUUUAGCAAAUGUUCUUAAUACACACACAGGCUCACACUCAAUAUGUGUAGAGACCACCCAAAGGACGACAGUCGGCUCUGUUGUGUUUUGUGCAUCCGUGGGCCCCCAUUACAUGGGCUUCGACUUAUGCCUGUUCAUGAAGAACAGGUGUUUGAAAUAAAAUCAAGGGGAAAAUCGCUAUGAAUUCGGCCCCUCUAAAGACAUUGCAAGAAUUUCUAAAAUUACUCUUCUUAGACAAAUUGUUCCCACAAGCCCAGAUGAUUUUUUAUCUUGAGGGUGCCCGGGGGAUACUAAAUCUUCCUGCCCACAUAAACUCGUUUUCAGAUGGGCUGGAGAUUCCAUUUAUCAUACAUGCAGGGCUGGGAAUGCUCAUGCCACAUUAAAGGUUAAAGCUGAGAAAGUCGGGGAGACACUGCCCUGGCCUAGUGUGGCAAGGCUGUGUCCACAGACACUGGCCUAGUGUGGCAAGGCUGUGUCCACAAAUAUGGGAGCAAUUUCAAUAAGACACAGACACUGGGGGUGCUUUUCUUUUUAGCAAUGCACGAAGAUGAGUAAGCUUGUUGUUGGCUUAAAUAAAAAAGCCUACAAUUCAAGUGACAAGUUUAAACUCAUUUGUGUACACGGAGCAUUUCAAGAUGAAGAGAUUACAGGAU